rnacentral:rRNA from 1 species
UACGUAGGGGGCAAGCGUUGUUCGGAAUUACUGGGCGUAAAGGGCUCGUAGGUGGCCAACUAAGUCAGACGUGAAAUCCCUCGGCUUAACCGGGGAACUGCGUCUGAUACUGGAUGGCUUGAGUUUGGGAGAGGGAUGCGGAAUUCCAGGUGUAGCGGUGAAAUGCGUAGAUAUCUGGAGGAACACCGGUGGCGAAGGCGGCAUCCUGGACCAACACUGACACUGAGGAGCGAAAGCCAGGGGAGCAAACGGG